rnacentral:rRNA from 1 species
UAAAACGUAGGUACCGAGCGUUAUCCGGAUUUACUGGGCGUAAAGCGCGUUCAGGCGGUUUGGCAAGUCGGGCAUGAAAUCUCUCGGCUCAACCGGGAGAGGUUGUCCGAUACUGCUGGACUUGAGGGCAGUAGAGGGUGGUGGAAUUCCGGGUGUAGUGGUGAAAUGCGUAGAUAUCCGGAGGAACACCAGUGGCGAAAGCGGCCACCUGGACUGUACCUGACGCUCAAACGCGAA